CAGUUCGGAUCGGAGUCUGCAACCCGACUCCAUGAAGCUGGAUUCGCUAGUAAUCGCGCAUCAGCCACGGCGCGGUGAAUACGUUCCCGGGCCUUGUACACACCGCCCGUCAAGCCAUGGAAGCCGGGGGUGCCUGAAGUGCGCUGCCGCAAGGAGCGCCCUAGGGUAAAACCGGUGACUGGGGCUAAGUCGUAACAAGGUACC
rnacentral:rRNA from 1 species